rnacentral:tRNA from 1 species
CUGCGCUGGAGCACGUACGCGGCUUCGGCGCCUUUGAAACGGGUGUUGAGGGGGACGAGUACCGCGCCGGCGGUGACGACGCCGAGGGCGGA